AUGCGUCCCCCAAAUCAACCGCCGCCGCCGGCGGCGGUCGAGCGCAUCUAUAAGCCCACAAGCUGCGAACCGCGGCUCGAGGAUCAACGUCGGGAGAGAUCGGAGCUUCACAAGAAGAUCGCCGACUCGUAUGAUCAUGUCCGCAAGCGGCUCGCCAUGGCCACGGCAUUCAAGGAUGAGACCUUCGUCGGCGCCGGCCUCUCCGUUGGCCUUCUCGACCCGGCCACGAACAUCAUCUACAACACCCUCACCGCCUCCGACCUCCGCGCCGGCGAGACCCGGGGCGUUCUUCAGCACCGGGACAUGGCCGAGCGCUCCCUGGCCGGCCUCGUCGCCUUCCUCACCUCCUUCUUCCGCUACCUCGCGGAGUGGGAGGCCGUGCGCUACCUGCUCCGCGCCGACACCGACCUCGUCUACGCGAUGCGCCUCGUCGCGCACAACCGGUGCCUCUCCUCCUUCCAAAUCAACUCUGACACCGGCAGGUCCGUCGUCCGCACCGCCCUCACCUGCGCGGCGCUGGCCUCGAAGCACAUGGAUCCCCACCACCUCGUCCGCUCCUGGCUGUCGCCGGUUCGCCCUCUGGAAGAAGCCGUCCACGCGAUCCAGAAUGACAUCAGUAAUUUCACCUGUGUAUUCAACCCACUGCAUCAUGCUCGCAAGCGCCCUCGUAUGACAAUGCAGCCCCUUGAUUUCGCUUGGAGGCGCGCAUUGGAGCUCCCUGAGUUACCACCCUCCGUCGUGCCGUAUCGACCUUACAAUUCCAUGAAGUUUGUGCUCCUCCAGCGCAUCCACUCCUUCUACCUGAAGGCACUUGCCCUGCUUCCGGCGAGUGAGCUCCGGUCUUCCUACCACCACAGCAUGCUCGAGGCUGGCCACUGCUAUGGCCCAUUCGAUCCCGUCGCCAACAUCAUCAUCAACACAAUCUGGUAUAACACCGUCUCCCCGCCAACCAAAAAACUUGAGCUUGACAUGAUCAGUACCAAUAGCCUGUUACGCAUCGAGGCUCGCUCCUUCUAUGGCCUUGUUUCUUUCCUCUGCACUUCGGGCAAGAAACUCUAUGAAGCCAUGCGCUUCUUGCUCAUUUCUGAUUGCACUCUUGGGGAUAUGAGCUUUCCGAACGCUUUGGCUGGCUAUGGGGAUCGAAGCAAAAUUUGUGAUGCCUUCAGGGUUGCUGGUGUGGCUGCUUGGCACCCCGACCCUGUCGCGCAAGCAGAGUUUAUUUCCUCAUGCAGUUAUCCAUUCUCAAGUCCGACGAUUACUGCUCCACUCGACUCUGCUGAUGUUGACCGCAUUACCAGAAAGAUGUUUCAAGGGCUCCCUACCACCCCUGGCAAUUCGCUGCGGCAUCAAUCUGUUCCCAUGCACAAGAUCUGCCGUCGUGCUCAAUGUAAAAUUGACCAAUGGAUGCACGAGUAUACAACAGUCUCUAAGAAAGUCAAAGCAGUGCUGGCCUCAUAUGCACUCGCCUCAUACAGAGAACCCAUGUAUCUUCAUGUUAUUUGUGGCGUCAACCAUAAUGUGUCUGGCCCCGAGUACUGUUAUGAUACUGGCACACCCGUUUCCAUAUACCAACACACUCAUGUUAAUUUUCUGGCAAGUCGAAGAGAUGGAAAUCCAGAACUCUUCUUUGCUGAACUUAGCAAUGACGAGGCAGACGAUGGAGGUGGGAAGGUCUUGUGUUGUCCUGUGAAUUUUCCACAACCACGACAAGAAGAGAUCCGCUGUCUGUACUGCGAUUACGAAGGCACCAAAAUCGUGCACCCGGUUAUGGAGGAAUUCCCAUUCAAAGGGCGCGACGUGGAGUUUCAGAAGAUGGUGUGUGGAAUAGAUCCCUACCAAGAUGAAGCAUCUCCAUACGAGCGGCAGCGCUACACCAACUGCACUAUCAUCAGGAGCUCGUCCAAGGCAUUAGAUUGGUUGGGAUAUGUGGUAGAUGACUGGAUCUAUACCGACUUUGACGAGGAAGAUGACAGUGAUGAUUGUAGUACUGACGAAUCUGAGUGA
rnacentral:rRNA from 1 species